UACGUAGGUGGCAAGCGUUGUCCGGAUUUAUUGGGUUUAAAGGGUGCGUAGGCGGCCCUGUAAGUCAGUGGUGAAAUGCUCUAGCUUAACUAGAGAGGUGCCAAUGAUACUGCAGGGCUUGAGUACAGAUGAGGUAGGCGGAAUUGACGGUGUAGCGGUGAAAUGCGUAGAUAUCGGGAGGAACACCAGUGGCGAAGGCGGCUUCCUGGCCUGUUCUUGACGCUGAGGCGCGAAAGCUAGGGGAGCAAACGGGG
rnacentral:rRNA from 1 species